rnacentral:lncRNA from 1 species
AUUACUCUAGUGAUCUCUUUAUACGUGCUUGUUCUAUAAUUAUGAUAAUUAUAAUGAUAAUAUUUUAGCUUUACUGUGAACGACUUAUUUUAUCGAGGGGUGUUUUUUUGCAAGUAGAUCAUCGUUAAUAUGUAAAACUCAGAUAUACUCGUCCGGGAACAAAACAACAAUAUUAGAAAAUAGCGACAGUAUAUUGACUCAAAGUAGGAUAAAAUGGGUCUAACACGAAAAUAAGUAUCAGUGAAAUUAUUGUUUAACAACAUUUUAAUUGUUGUAGAUUAUGUCUGUUUAUUUUGAUUGUAGCACUGCC